rnacentral:rRNA from 1 species
GAUGAACGCUGGCGGCGUGCCUAAUACAUGCAAGUCGAGCGAACGGACGAGAGGCUUGCUUCUCUGAUGUUAGCGGCGGACGGGUGAGUAACACGUGGAUAACCUACCUAUAAGACUGGGAUAACUUCGGGAAACCGGAGCUAAUACCGGAUAAUAUUUUGAACCGCAUGGUUCAAAAGUGAAAGACGGUCCUGCUGUCACUUAUAGAUGGAUCCGCGCUGCAUUAGCUAGUUGGUAAGGUAACGGCUUACCAAGGCAACGAUGCAUAGCCGACCUGAGAGGGUGAUCGGCCACACUGGAACUGAGACACGGUCCAGACUCCUACGGGAGGCAGCAGUAGGGAAUCUUCCGCAAUGGGCGAAAGCCUGACGGAGCAACGCCGCGUGAGUGAUGAAGGUCUUCGGAUCGUAAAACUCUGUUAUUAGGGAAGAACAUAUGUGUAAGUAACUGUGCACAUCUUGACGGUACCUAAUCAGAAAGCCACGGCUAACUACGUG